rnacentral:siRNA from 1 species
GCAGCGAUACUGACGUGCAAA